rnacentral:rRNA from 1 species
GUAGGGAAUAUUGGACAAUGGGCGAAAGCCUGAUCCAGCCAUGCCGCGUGAUAGAUGAAGGCCCUCUGGGUUGUAAAUAUCUUUUAUCUGGGAAGAAACUCCUCUAUUCUUAGAGGCCUGACGGUACCAGAGGAAUAAGCACCGGCUAACUCCGUGCCAGCAGCCGCGGUAAUACGGAGGGUGCAAGCGUUAUCCGGAUUCACUGGGUUUAAAGGGUGCGUAGGCGGGUUGAUAAGUCAGUGGUGAAAGCUCCGGGCUUAACUUGGAAACUGCCAUUGAUACUGUCAGUCUUGAAUGUCGUAGAGGUAAGCGGAAUGUUGCAUGUAGCGGUGAAAUGCUUAGAUAUGUUACAGAACACCAAUUGCGAAGGCAGCUUACUAUGCGAUAAUUGACGCUGAGGCACGAAAGCGUGGGGAGCAAACAGGAUUAGAAACCCUAGUAGUCC